UCAUCAUCAUCUCCACUACGGAUGCACAUGCAAGAGGAGGAGAUGGCCCGACUGCAUGGAAUACAGGCUAGCAUCAAAUAACCUAGCAUUAGAUAACGACAG